GCAGCAGUGCUCCCUCUUGUAGGGGUUUGUAGAUUAGCAUGCAUAUAUUCUUCUUGUACCCAUAGCAAGGUGUCGAUCUUACGCUUUUGCUAAAAUAUAAAAGGAGAAUUCAGUGAUCAAAACUGGGUAUAGAGACCGUGUUGAUGCUCAACAGGAUGUCACAAAUAGUUAUCUAAGGUUGUCUAGAUCAAGUCUAUGUCUCAUCAGCAAUAGAUGUAUAGCUCUCAUAUUAUAGAAAGAAGUCUAGCUUAGCAAUACCCUCU
rnacentral:lncRNA from 1 species